AUCGCUUCUCGGCCUUUUGGCUAAGAUCAAGUGUAGUAUCAGUGCACUUGUGUGCGAUAAGAUACCCUAU
rnacentral:snRNA from 1 species